GGAAAUGUUUCCAAGGCUACUGAUCUGGUGAGAAUCUCAUGUGGGUAUGUGAUCACACAAUUGGACAUUCUUUCAUGGAAUGAAUAAACUACUGCCAAAAAAAGGAAUCUGGGGAAACACGGAUGAGUGCGUGUACUCUCUGGUUAUUUCUUAUUGUUUCUGUUCAACUGCAUGUGAAUCUAAAAUCAUCCUGAAAAAAAAGUUUAAAAAAAGAGAAUCUUAGAACUGCAUUAACUACUAUACUAACUUAUGAUCAUCUAUAAAUAGAAGGUCAGAGACAAGAACUGUGAAUAAUAGAGGGCGAGCCAUCACCAAGUGUGUCAUGGUUCCAUUAAUGAAAUUGUAGAGGAUGAAAGCAGGUGGAUAAUUUGUGGAUGACUUCUGAAGUUUGUCAACACUUCUAGAGACAACAUCAAGAGGGCAGUUGUUUUUUGACAGAGAGGUGGACCCUUGCGAAUUUAGAACGAUCUGGACGUAAAGCCUUAUGCUUUCAACCCAGGAGAUGCUGAAAGCUGUAAUUUAGUGAGAAGAUUCAAGUCAGUCACUGUCACCUGUGUUCAGUCCCCUCAAUUACUGGCCUUGCUUUUAUGCAUUCAUUGCUAUUUUGUGGAUUCUCAAUAGGCACAAAUUGUGCAUUCUUUCACGUGUUAUUUGCGUUAAAAAACAAAGAGAAGUAUCUAAGCAUAGGCCAUGUUAGUUGUGUGCAAGCUGUAUGGGCACAGAAGGUCAGUGUGACAGAGUCGCUACUGUAAAGGGCUCUUGAAAGGAGAGAUGGAGAAACAAAUUGACAAGCACUGCAUGGUGCGGUUGUGGAGUCAUGUCACGUCUGAGGUACACAACAAGAUCCUGGAAUUUGAGGCUGAAUUCCAAAGAACAGUGUGGCUGUAAGACCCUUAUUAAGACCUCUUGACGUGCUAAGGGGUAUCCAGAACCUGUUUGCUGAUCAUGGUUAUGGGUGAUGAGAACUCACGAAAAGGCCCCCGCAGCUGGGAGAAGGUCUAUAUCAGCAUACCACCUUCCUAGACAGCAACACAGAGGGGAGCAGUUGUCACACAUGAACCACCAGCACGAAAGAAGCAAAGAAGCCGGGACGCGCAGUGAUCCCACAGGGAGCCUCAUGCUGGCAGAAAUAUUAUGUUUGAGCUGUUUCCCUUCUGGGAGAACAGCUGGAUUGCCUGGUUGUGAGUCUCUCCUAGCGUUUUCUCCAGAGCAGAUGAGGCAGGCUGAGAAGCGAGCCAAGCGCUUGGAUGCUUUAAUUAAACAGUAGAAUCUGAGAACUACAGGAAUGUCUAUGUGUGAAACCCUG
rnacentral:lncRNA from 1 species